CCUACGGGUGGCAGCAGUGAGGAAUAUUGGUCAAUGGACGAGAGUCUGAACCAGCCAAGUAGCGUGAAGGACGACUGCCCUAUGGGUUGUAAACUUCUUUUAUAUGGGAAUAAAACGUUCCACGUGUGGGAUUUUGUAUGUACCAUAUGAAUAAGGAUCGGCUAACUCCGUGCCAGCAGCCGCGGUAAUACGGAGGAUCCGAGCGUUAUCCGGAUUUAUUGGGUUUAAAGGGAGCGUAGGUGGAUUGUUAAGUCAGUUGUGAAAGUUUGCGGCUCAACCGUAAAAUUGCAGUUGAAACUGGCAGUCUUGAGUACAGUAGAGGUGGGCGGAAUUCGUGGUGUAGCGGUGAAAUGCUUAGAUAUCACGAAGAACUCCGAUUGCGAAGGCAGUUCACUGGACUGCAACUGACACUGAGGCUCGAAAGUGUGGGUAUCAAACAGGAUUAGAUACCCCAGUAGUC
rnacentral:rRNA from 1 species